AAUGAACACAAGAUGGUCCCUGCCCACAGAAGUGCAUCAUUUACAGGAAGAGUGAAGCAGCUUAACCAAUAACCACAGUGAAGCUUCCUCAGGAAGAACAGUGGAGGGGUUUGGAACGAGAGCGCUGUGAAUCUUGAUGGAGAACUUAAGUGGGUCCAGCAGGAAGAACAGAGAAUAGCAGCCCCGUGGAGCUCCCAUAUGGGAGCAGACCAGCCCCUGAGAUGGCACACAUCUCAGCAUGACUAAUCCUCAGCACAACCCCGUGUGGAUUGGAGAGACGUACAGGUGCAUCAAGAAGCCUAAGGAUGUUCAGUGCAAUGCUGCAUGUUGUGAAAACCUGAAGACCGCCACGUGGCAGCUGGCCUCCAAGUUGGCCCUUAUUGACCCCACCUCCUGCUCUCGCCUCAGCUGCAAUCCUCUCCCACUGAAUCAGUGUUAUUAUGUAUGACCAAUAGUCAACAGCACAUGGCAGUGUGAUGGCAUGCCAGCCAUUCCUGAACUUAGGCUAUACAAAGGCAGCAGCUUCUAUUCUGGGUUCUCUCCCUCUUUUUCAUCACUAAGGAAGCUGCCUUGUUGUGAACAGCCUUAUAGAAAGCCCCAUGUAGAGAAGAGCUGAGUCUUCCUGCCAUUUAAGUGAUGGCUUACACCUUAUAUGCCAAUCUUUUGCCCCUGGCCAAGUCUUCAGGUGACUGAAGCCCUGGCCCACAGCUCAACUGCAACCUCAUGAGAGACUCUGAUCCAGAACCAGCAGGAUAAGUUGUUCCCAGAUUCCUGGCCUCAAACUGAGGAGAUGAUAAACAUAUGUUAUUUUAAAGUGCUAAAUUGGGGGACUUCCCUGGUGGUCCAGUGGUUAAGAAUUCGCCUUGCAAUGCAGGGGACAUGGGUUCAAUCCCUGAUUAAGGAACAAAGAUCCCACGUGCCAUGGGACAACUAAGCCUGUGAGCCAAAACUACUGAGCCUGGGUGCCUCAACCAGAGAGCAUGCAUGGUGCAAACUACAGACCCCAUGCUCUCUGGAGUCUGUGCACCAGCACUGGAGAGAACCUCUGUGUCGCAACUAAGACCUGACACAGCAAAAGAAAUGUGCUAAACUGGGGAGUAAUUUGUUACACAGCAAUAGAUAACUAAUACACUCCAGACUACAGAGUUUUAUGCAGCAGUUAAAAAAUGGAGUAGAUCUCUGUGUGCUGAUAUGGAAAGAUUUCUGAUAUGUUGUUUUGAGAAAAUAAUAACCUCAGAAAAAUACACAGAGCUAUAUCCCUUUUACAUAAAACACCAUCAACACUGCUAUAUUUUUCUGCAUUUACACAUGCACGUGUGCUGUGCUAAUCGUUCAGUAGUGUUCAGCCCUGGAACCCCAUGGACUGUAGCCCGCCAGGCUCCUCUGUCCAUGGGAUUUCCCAGGCAAGAAUACUGGAGGGGUAGCCAUUCUCUUCUCCAGGGGAUCUUCUCAACCCGGGGAUCGAACCCAGGUCUCCUGCAUUGCAGGCAGAUUCUUUACUGUUUGAGCCAACAGGGAAGCCCACAUAUGCCUGCACAUAUGUAAUACAUAAGAC
ensembl:lncRNA